CAGUCGCCGCGGGAAUACAGAGGGUGCGAGCGUUAAUCGGAUUUACUGGGCGUAAAGCGUGCGUAGGCGGCUAAUUAAGUCGGAUGUGAAAUCCCCGAGCUUAACUUGGGAAUUGCAUUCGAUACUGGUUAGCUAGAGUGUGGGAGAGGAUGGUAGAAUUCCAGGUGUAGCGGUGAAAUGCGUAGAGAUCUGGAGGAAUACCGAUGGCGAAGGCAGCCAUCUGGCCUAACACUGACGCUGAGGUACGAAAGCAUGGGGAGCAAACAGGAUUAGAUACCCCCGUAGUCCCUGUCUCUUAUAC
rnacentral:rRNA from 1 species